rnacentral:rRNA from 1 species
UACGGAAGGCAGCAGUGGGGAAUAUUGCACAAUGGGCGAAAGCCUGAUGCAGCUAUGCCGCGUGUAUGAAGAAGGCCUUAGGGUUGUAAAGUACUUUCAUCGGGGAGGAAAAACAAAACUAAUAAUUUUAUUUCUUGACGUUACCCGAAAAAGAAGCACCGGCUAACUCCGUGCCAGCAGCCGCGGUAAUACGGAGGGUGCUAGCGUUAAUCAGAAUUACUGGGCGUAAAGAGCACGUAGGUGGUUUUUUUAAGUCAGAUGUGAAAUCCCUGGGCUUAACCUGGAACUGCAUUUUGAAACUGAAAUACUAGAGUAUCGUAGAGGGAGGUAGAAUUCUAGGUGUAGCGGUGAAAUGCGUAGAUAUCUGGAGGAAUACCUGUGGCGAAAGCGGCCUCCUAAACGAAUACUGACACUGAGUGCGAAAGCGUGGGGAGCAAAACAGGGAUUAGAUACCCGU